GACGAACGCUGGCGGCGUGCUUAACACAUGCAAGUCGAACGGUGACCCAGGGCUUGCCCUGGUGAUCAGUGGCGAACGGGUGAGUAAACACGUGGGCAACCUGCCCCCUGACUUCGGGAUAACUCCUCGAAAGAGGAGCUAAUACCGGAUACGACCACUUCGGACAUCCGAUGGUGGUGGAAAGUUUUUCGGUCAGGGAUGGGCCCGCGGCCUAUCAGCUAGUUGGUGGGGUAAUGGCCUACCAAGGCGACGACGGGUAGCCGGCCUGAGAGGGCGACCGGCCACACUGGGACUGAGACACGGCCCAGACUCCUACGGGAGGCAGCAGUGGGGAAUAUUGCGCAAUGGGCGAAAGCCUGACGCAGCGACGCCGCGUGAGGAAUGAAGGCCUCGGUUGUAACCGUACUUUCUAGCAGGACGAAGCGAAAGUAGACGGUACCGUGCAGAAGAAGCACCGGCUAACUACGUAGCCAGCAGCCGCGGUAA
rnacentral:rRNA from 1 species